GCUCAGUUGGUUAAGCGUCUGACUCUUGAUUUUGGCUCAGGUCAUGAUCUCACGGUUUCAUGGGUUCAAGCCCCAUGUUGGGCU
rnacentral:tRNA from 1 species